UACGGGGGGAGCAAGCGUUGUUCGGAUUUACUGGGCGUAAAGGGUGCGUAGGUGGGAAUGUAAGUCAGUGGUGAAAUCUCCGUGCUUAACACGGAAACUGCCAUUGAUACUAUGUUUCUUGAAUUUUCCGGAGGUCAGCGGAAUAUGUCAUGUAGCGGUGAAAUGCUUAGAUAUGACAUAGAACACCAAUUGCGAAGGCAGCUGACUACAGGGACAUUGACACUGAGGCACGAAAGCGUGGGGAUCAAACAGG
rnacentral:rRNA from 1 species